GGAUGAACGCUGGCGGCGUGCCUAAUACAUGCAAGUCGAGCGAACAGACGAGGAGCUUGCUCCUCUGACGUUAGCGGCGGACGGGUGAGUAACACGUGGAUAACCUACCUAUAAGACUGGGAUAACUUCGGGAAACCGGAGCUAAUACCGGAUAAUAUAUUGAACCGCAUGGUUCAAUAGUGAAAGACGGUUUUGCUGUCACUUAUAGAUGGAUCCGCGCCGCAUUAGCUAGUUGGUAAGGUAACGGCUUACCAAGGCAACGAUGCGUAGCCGACCUGAGAGGGUGAUCGGCCACACUGGAACUGAGACACGGUCCAGACUCCUACGGGAGGCAGCAGUAGGGAAUCUUCCGCAAUGGGCGAAAGCCUGACGGAGCAACGCCGCGUGAGUGAUGAAGGUCUUCGGAUCGUAAAACUCUGUUAUUAGGGAAGAACAAAUGUGUAAGUAAUUAUGCACGUCUUGACGGUACCUAAUCAGAAAGCCACGGCUAACUACGUG
rnacentral:rRNA from 1 species